rnacentral:rRNA from 1 species
CCUACGGGGGGCAGCAGUGGGGAAUAUUGGACAAUGGGGGCAACCCUGAUCCAGCCAUGCCGCGUGUGUGAAGAAGGCCCGCGGGUUGUAAAGCACUUUCAGUGAGGAAGAACGCCUGGUGGUUAAUACCCAUCAGGAAAGACAUCACUCACAGAAGAAGCACCGGCUAACUCCGUGCCAGCAGCCGCGGUAAUACGGAGGGUGCGAGCGUUAAUCGGAAUUACUGGGCGUAAAGCGCGCGUAGGUGGCUUGAUAAGCCGGUUGUGAAAGCCCCGGGCUCAACCUGGGAACGGCAUCCGGAACUGUCAAGCUAGAGUGCAGGAGAGGAAGGUAGAAUUCCCGGUGUAGCGGUGAAAUGCGUAGAGAUCGGGAGGAAUACCAGUGGCGAAGGCGGCCUUCUGGACUGACACUGACACUGAGGUGCGAAAGCGUGGGUAGCAAACAGGAUUAGAUACCCUAGUAGUC